rnacentral:misc_RNA from 1 species
AAAGUCGUAACAAGGUUUCCGUAGGUGAACCUGCGGAAGGAUCAUCAAUGUAUCCAAAUUACAUGCCCCAUGUGCACUGUACAGACAAGGCUUUUUGAUGGGGGUGGUAGCGUAUGCUACUGCCGUGUCGAGAUAGGGAGCAAUCCUUGCCUCCGCAACCGUUCAUGUAAUGAUUACAUGUCUGUGGACCUGUCAUUUUGCAAAAGGGCGGUGCUCAUCAAUUGCCUUGUACAAUAUACCUGGCUUAUGCUAAUUGACUGAUAAUUUUUAUUAAAUUAAAACAACUUUCAACAAUGGAUCUCUUGGUUCUC